UCUCUAAAACCCUUCUCUUUCCUUUCUCCAUCAGAGAUUCUCUUUCUUUUCUUCUUUCUUUCUUUCCCAAAACUAGCUUUUAAGGAUGCCAUUGUUCUCCUUCACCACCUUCCGUUUUAUUCCUUUUGUGCUCCAUACCCUUUCCUUUUCUUCUCUCUAUUUCUCUCCCCAUCCUUUUCGUUUUCCACCUCCCUUUUCGCUUCCUAGAAAUUCAGGCAAACCUAUACAUACACUUCAAUACCCAUGUCGUCUUCUUCGCCCAUUAAUCACCUCUCUCAGUCCUUUAUCUAUGGACACUUUGUUUCUUCGUAUGGAGAGAGGAAGUCUCGGUUUAUGAAAUGGUUGAGCAAGCUUUUUAAGAGUGGCUCGGAUCGUGGUGGUAUGGGCAGGCGUAACCCACAAUAUAUCGGGGAGGAAAACAUGGUUUGGCAGGCUCCAGCAAGAUCCGUGGGUGAGCACUCUAGAGCUGACAAGGAGAGAGAGGAAUUAGACCGUGCACUUGCACUUUCUUUGGCUGAAGAUUUGAAGAGACCACCUGGAUACAGAUGGCAAACAGAGAAUGAUGAAGAUCUAAGGGCACUUCAGGAUGUCCCCAAUUCAUCUUCAUAUCCUCCCUAUGCCCCUACUGACUAUUAUCCCAGAGACUAUAGUCGCAGCCCUCCGAAGUCCAUCGAAGCCCUCCGAAGUCCAUCGAAGACCUCCGAUCCAGUCGUCUUCGACCUCCGAUCUAGUCGUCUUCGAAGAGUAUGCGGUGGAUGCAACCGUGACAUUGGCUGUGGAAACUAUUUGGGAUGCAUGGGUGCUUUUUUUCAUCCAGAAUGCUUCCGUUGUCGUUCUUGUGGUUUCCCAAUCACCGAGCAUGAGUUUUCUUCAUCAGGGAGGCAUGCAUACCAUAAGUCCUGCUACAAAGAGCUAACCCAUCCCAAAUGUGAAGUUUGUCAUCAAUUUAUCCCAACAAAUGGAGCUGGUUUGAUAGAGUACAGGUGCCACCCAUUUUGGUCCCAGAAAUAUUGCCCUUCACAUGAGUAUGAUAACACGGCCCGAUGCUGCAGUUGUGAGCGUUUGGAGUCUUGGAAUGUAAGAUACGUAUCUCUAGGAGAUGGACGGAGUCUAUGUUUAGAGUGUAUGGAAUCUUCUAUCAUAGAUACUGGUGAUUGCCAACCACUCUACCAUGCCGUUAGAGACUACUAUGAAGGAAUGAACAUGAAACUAGACCAGCAAAUUCCGAUGCUUCUGGUCGAAAGACAAGCCCUUAAUGAAGCUAUUGUAGGCGAGAAAAAUGGUUUCCAUCACAUGCCUGAAACAAGGGGUUUAUGUUUGUCAGAAGAGCAGACAGUUACCAGUAUACUUAAAAGGCCAAGAGUAGGGAACCACCGACUUGUAGGAAUGAGAACACAACAUCAAAAGCUGACUCGAAAAUGUGAAGUCACAGCCAUUCUUGUUCUGUAUGGUCUCCCAAGAUUACUGACAGGUGCGAUUCUUGCUCAUGAGUUAAUGCGUGGGUGGUUACGCCUUAAAGGCUACCGUAAUCUGAAUCCGGAGGUAGAGGAGGGUAUAUGUCAAGUGCUUUCUUACAUGUGGCUCGAGUCAGAGGUAAUGCCAGGAUUCAGAAAUAUGCCAUCCACAUCAACAGCUUCAUCAUCAUCGUCAAUGUCAUCAUCGAAGAAAGGUGGAAAGUCUGGUGUCGAGAAUAAAUUGGGUGAGUUUUUCAUGCAUCAGAUUGCCCAUGAUGCUUCUCCGGCCUAUGGUGGAGGAUUUAGGGCCGCAAAUGCAGCUGUGAAUCAGUAUGGUUUACGCAGUGUUCUGGACCACAUUCACCUAACUGGGAGUUUUCCCCUGUAAUUUGAUUUACAAUAGGGAUCCGGGGGCUUGAACCUGAUUGCUGACUUUGAUUGCCCUAAGAAUCUGGUGCUUUUCUAUUGGCCUUUUUGGCACAAGUGAUAGAAAGGAGUUCGCGGAUUGUACGAUAGACUUAAUCUUGUUAAUUAGACAAGAAGUUCUCCUGCUCAAAUUACUCGUAUAGUCUCCGACAUUAAUGGUUGUGCCCUGACCCGGAAGCCCAGUGGCUGCCUCCUGAGCUGCCAGUGCCUUCUUGCUGAUUAUCUG